rnacentral:rRNA from 1 species
AUUGAACGCUGGCGGCAGGCCUAACACAUGCAAGUCGAACGAGUGGCGGACGGGUGAGUAAUGUCUGGGAAACUGCCUGAUGGAUGGGGAUAACUACUGGAAACGGUAGCUAAUACCGCAUACCAUCAGAUGUGCCCAGAUGGGAUUCGCUUGUUGGUGGGGUAACGGCUCACCCAGGCGACGAUCCCUAGCUGGUCUGAGAGGAUGACCAGCCACACUGUAACUGGGACCCGGGCCAGACUCCUCCGGGCGGCGGCAGUGGGGAAUAGUGCACACUGGGCGCAAGCCUGAUGCAGCCAUGCCGCGUGUAUGAAGAAGGCCUUAGGGUUGUAAAUUACUUUCAGCGGGGGGGCGUUACCCGCAGAAGAAGCACCGGCUAACUCCGUGCCAGCCGCCGCGGUAAUAC